UGAAUCUGAUGACAGCAAGUCAAAGAAAAAAAGAGAUGCUGCUGACAAACCUAGAGGUUUUGCUAGAGGUCUUGAUCCUGAACGAAUAAUUGGCGCCACAGAUAGUAGUGGAGAAUUGAUGUUUCUCAUGAAAUGGAAAGAUUCAGAUGAGGCUGACUUGGUGCUGGCAAAAGAGGCAA